UACGGAGGGGGCAAGCGUUGUUCGGAAUUACUGGGCGUAAAGGGCUCGUAGGCGGCCAAUUAAGUCAGACGUGAAAUCCCCAGGCUCAACCUGGGAACUGCGUCUGAUACUGGAUGGCUUGAAUCCGGGAGAGGGAUGCGGAAUUCCAGGUGUAGCGGUGAAAUGCGUAGAUAUCUGGAGGAAUACCGGUGGCGAAGGCGGAUCUCUGGGCCGAUACUGACGCUGAUGAGCGAAAGCGUGGGGAGCGAACAGG
rnacentral:rRNA from 1 species